rnacentral:rRNA from 1 species
GAAUUUAAACCUCUUCCAGAGUAUCAAUUGGAGGGCAAGUCUGGUGCCAGCAGCCGCGGUAAUUCCAGCUCCAAUAGCGUAUAUUAAAAUUGUUGCAGUUAAAAAGCUCGUAGUUGAAUUUCUGCUGCAUUGCUUUUGCUCCUUUACGAGUCUUUGCAUUGUGGCUUAUUUCGGACUUUGUUUUACAAUGUCCGGAUGUUUACUUUGAGAAAAUUAGAGUGCUCAAAGCAGGCUUUCGCCUUGAAUAGUUUAGCAUGGAAUAAUAAAGUAGGACUUUGGUUCUAUUUUGUUGGUUUUAGGUACCAAAGUAAUGGUUAAUAGGAACAGUUGGGGGCAUUCGUAUUUAACUGUCAGAGGUGAAAUUCUUAGAUUUGUUAAAGACGAACUACUGCGAAAGCAUUUGCCAAGGAUGUUUUCAUUAAUCAAGAACGAAAGU